rnacentral:rRNA from 1 species
UACGAAGGGUGCAAGCGUUACUCGGAAUUACUGGGCGUAAAGCGUGCGUAGGCGGUUUGUUAAGUCUGUCGUGAAAGCCCCGGGCUCAACCUGGGAAUGGCGAUGGAUACUGGCGAGCUAGAGUACGGUAGAGGAGAGUGGAAUUCCCGGUGUAGUGGUGAAAUGCGUAGAUAUCGGGAGGAACACCAGUGGCGAAGGCGACUACCUGGCCUGUUCUUGACGCUGAGGCGCGAAAGCUAGGGGAGCAAACGGG